CAAAUACCAGUGAAUAAUGGAAAUAAAUAAAAACUAAUUCGAUCUCACAAAUUUAGUAGAACCAACUCCUCCGUUGUUCCUCGACUAGAAAAAAUGAAUUAGUUCAUCUUCAUGGAGGAAAUCCCAUGCAAAAUUGCAUGGGUCAUUGCGGCCAUUGUCACCGAAGUUGAAUAAGAAAAAACUAAAAAGUAAGAACCACCAAAAAAACUCCCAAUUCCCCAAAGAUAAAGCCGCGGCCCAAGGAAAAGAAUUGUCUCCUAAUCUAAAACAAAUUGCCUCACUUCCCUCCGUGGUCCCCACGAAAUUGAAGGUAAAAAGGAGUACAAGAGCUGCGGCUCUGCCAAAUUUCCUCUUCUUUGUGUUUCCUCUUGCUAGUAAGAGUCCUAGUCAGCAACCCUUCUAAUCAGCCAAAAGAAAUUCAAUCCGUCUGUAGCUUCAUGUAGGCCAGUUUUAUGAGGCUUUUUGGACCCUUUUACGUGUGGAGCAAUUCCCUCCAACAGGUCCCCCAUUUUAGCACUUUU
rnacentral:lncRNA from 1 species